rnacentral:rRNA from 1 species
GACGGAGGGUGCAAGCGUUGUUCGGAAUCACUGGGCGUAAAGCGCGUGUAGGCGGUUGAAUAAGUCGGAUGUGAAAGCCCGGAGCUUAACUCCGGAAGUGCAUUCGAAACUGUUCGGGUCGAGUACGGGAGAGGGAAGUGGAAUUCCUGGUGUAGAGGUGAAAUUCGUAGAUAUCAGGAGGAACGCCGGUGGCGAAGGCGGCUCUCUGGACUGAUUCUGACGCUGAGGCACGAAAGCUGGGGGAGCAAACAGG